CCUACGGGAGGCUGCAGUGAGGAAUAUUGGUCAAUGGACGGAAGGCUGAACCAGCCAAGCCGCGUGAAGGACGAAUGUGCCAAGCAUUGUAAACUUCUUUUGUCAAGGGACAAAAUCAGGCACGAGAGCCUGACCGAGGGUACUUGAAGAAAAAGCAUCGGCUAACUCCGUGCCAGCAGCCGCGGUAAUACGGAGGAUGCGAGCGUUAUCCGGAUUUAUUGGGUUUAAAGGGGGCGUAGGCGGUCGGAUAAGUUAGUGGUGAAAGCGUGAGGCUCAACUUAGGAAUUGCCUUUGAUACUGUUCGUCUUGAGAGUAGUAGCGGUAGGCGGAAUGUAUGGUGUAGCGGUGAAAUGCUUAGAGAUCAUACAGAACACCGAUUGCGAAGGCAGCUUACUAAGCUACUUCUGACGUUGAGGCACGAAAGCGUGGGUAGCAAACAGGAUUAGAUACCCCAGUAGUC
rnacentral:rRNA from 1 species